AUCCCUUUUGAUCCACUGGAUCACACAUCCACUUUGGUUGUUGAUCCCCAGUUGGUCAAGACAUGGACCUUCAUCACUGAUCGUCUUGAAUACAGGCACGGGUUGUUCGUGAGAGUGGAAGCCAAUUCUAUUGAUCGACCAAUCCGCUCAUAUAUACCCCA
rnacentral:misc_RNA from 1 species